rnacentral:RNase_MRP_RNA from 1 species
AGGAUGCUGCGUGGAAAGUCCCCGUGCCCGAGGGCAGAGAGUGCCAGCGGGAGACUGCG